AGUCAGGAAAGCAUCCCUUCGGGGAUGUGGAAACUGGGCGCACGNGGUGAGUAACGCGUAGGUUAUCUGCCCUAAUCCGGGACAUAACGUCGGGAAACCGGCGCUAAUAUCCCAUGAGGUACUUCGGUAUCAAAGCUUCGGCGGAUUGGGAUGAGCCUGCGUCUGAUUAGCUUGUUGGUAAGGUAAAGGCUUACCAAGGCGACGAUCAGUAGCUGGUCUGAGAGGACGAUCAGCCACACUGGAACUGAGACACGGUCCAGACUCCUACGGGAGGCAGCAGUGAGGAAUCUUGGUCAAUGGGGGAAACCCUGAACCAGCGACGCCGCGUGUGGGAUGAAGGAGUUCUGCUUCGUAAACCACUGUUGAGAGGGAAGAAAUGCCCCCAUUGGGGGCUGGGACUGUACCUCUUCAGAAAGGAUCGGCUAACUACGUGCCAGCAGCCGCGGUAAUACGUAGGAUCCAAGCGUUGUCCGGAAUUACUGGGUGUAAAGGGUGCGUAGGCGGGCUUGUGCGUCAGAGGUUAAAUCCCACAGCUCAACUGUGGAACUGCCUUUGAUACGGCAAGUCUUGAGUGUGAGAGAGGAUGGUAGAAUUCCUGGUGUAGCGGUGAAAUGCGUAGAUAUCAGGAGGAAUACCAGUGGCGAAGGCG
rnacentral:rRNA from 1 species